rnacentral:rRNA from 1 species
GUGGGGAAUAUUGGACAAUGGGCGCAAGCCUGAUCCAGCCAUGCCGCGUGAGUGAUGAAGGCCCUAGGGUUGUAAAGCUCUUUCACCGGAGAAGAUAAUGACGGUAUCCGGAGAAGAAGCCCCGGCUAACUUCGUGCCAGCAGCCGCGGUAAUACGAAGGGGGCUAGCGUUGUUCGGAAUUACUGGGCGUAAAGCGCACGUAGGCGGACAUUUAAGUCAGGGGUGAAAUCCCGGAGCGCAACUCCGGAACUGCCUUUGAUACUGGGUGUCUGGAGUAUGGAAGAGGUGAGUGGAAUUCCGAGUGUAGAGGUGAAAUUCGUAGAUAUUCGGAGGAACACCAGUGGCGAAGGCGGCUCACUGGUCCAUUACUGACGCUGAGGUGCGAAAGCGUGGGGAGCAAACAGGAUUAGAUACCCUUGUAGUCC